rnacentral:rRNA from 1 species
AUUGAACGCUGGCGGCAGGCCUAACACAUGCAAGUCGAACGAGUGGCGGACGGGUGAGUAAUGUCUGGGAAACUGCCCGAUGGAGGGGGAUAACUACUGGAAACGGUAGCUAAUACCGCAUACUAUCGGAUGUGCCCAGCUGGGAUUAGCUAGUAGGUGGGGUAACGGCUCACCUAGGCGACGAUCCCUAGCUGGUCUGAGAGGGUGACCAGCCACACUGGAACUGCGACAGGGUCCAGACUCCUACGGGAGGCAGCGGUGGGGAAGAUUGCACAAUGGGCGCAAGGGUGAUGCGGCCAGGCCGGGUGUAUGAAGAAGGCCUUCGGGUUGUAAAGUACUUUCAGGGAGGAGGCGUUACUCGCAGAGGAAGCACCGGCUAACUCCGUGCCAGCCGCCGCGGUAAUAC